rnacentral:lncRNA from 1 species
UCGGGGCUCAGUUUUGGGCCAAUAGGAAAUCUGUUAUACAAAUUUGGAGAUUGAACCAGUUUUAGCUGACUAAAACCCAAGAACAAGGUGGCACGGGAGUGUUUUUAUGCUGGGAUUGGUUGGUUUGAGGUACGAUUUAACUGGGCCUCUUUAGGCGAAACUAGCCUGGCCCAGAGGCGCGUUUUCUUUUGUUUCAAAGAGACCUUCCUCCUGACCGCCGGUUCUCUCUCUCUCUCUCUCUCUCUCUUUUAUAUUACAUUUUAUAGUUGCAUCCCUUGAUCUCUUUCCAUUCAUCAGAAUCCUAUGUGUUUGUGAGCUUCUUCGAUUUUAAUUUGGAGCAAUGCAUUGUUUUACUGAGGAAUUCUGGUAUCCAAAAGAAAUUAUUGGAGUACUUGGGGCAUUUGCGUUGAUCACCACUUGAAUCUCGAUUUUGUGGCUUCUCCAAUUACUUUUCCCCGUUGAUUUUGUUUUCAAUUCGAUUUUUGUUCCUCUAAAGAUUGAGGUUGAUCUCAAGUGUGAUGAGCAUCUUACCUACUUCGGGGGCCAGAAAAGAAGCAAGUCUUUUCUCAUAUUGUUAUUAGUUAUUAAACUCUGUGGUUUGACUGUUUGCUUCCAUUUAUGGACACUUGUAGCAUUAGAAGGAACUAGAUCCUAUUUUUUAACUGGCCAAUUGACCAUUAUUUUUUAAUUUUUCAUUCAAGAACUUUUUGGCAAUUUAAUUGAAGAAGAUAUUAAAACAGUAGAUCCUACAAUAGGUUGUAGUUUCAAUAAUUAUGGAUUACAGGUGAUAACGUUUCAUGCUUGAUUUAAUUAUUGAUUCCUUGGGUUUCUUUUAUGACUCUUCCUUCCAGCAGUUGCAUCUGGGACAUUUUUUAUGUGCUGUUAAUUUUUAUACCAGUAAAGCUUAGUAGAGGAUUUAGUUGUUUGAGCUGAUGAUGAGUAAAAUGCGUUUGCUAUGAUUGGGAGAGUUUUCUGUGAUGUUACCCCACAUCACUUAGAUGCUGCGUAGCUGAGGAAGCAAGGCUGAAAAGCAAACAAGCCAAGCUAAAACAUCUUAAUUUCUAAGUGGCUAUCUUUUUGCAAAAAGAAACCUGCAUACUUCAGGGAAGAUGUUUAAUUAGGAAAUAUCAGAUAUUGGAUCUGAAUCCGGGGCCAGAAAGCAUCUUUAUAUUCUGUUUACUUUGCUGCCAAAGCUUUUCGAUGAAUAUGUCCUCCGCCUCCUCCCAUCCUCUUCUCUUUUAACAUUUGUUUGAUGUUGCUCUUUGUUUUUAAUUUGCAGGUUAUUUUCAUAACCUAGCUCCUGCCAAGGUCUGUAUAUAUUUAAUCUCUUGUCUGCAUUUUAGCUUUUCUAUAUGCUUAUUGCUACCUCUUUUCAUGCUUAUUAGCUUUUCUAUAUGAUAUGAACCAUCUCUAUCUUUCUUUUUUUAACUUUUUAUCAUAGAAUAUAUUUUUUCCUUGGUCGUGAAAAGACUCAUGUUUAUUUAUGUGUUAACAACCUUAUUUUGUUACAGGCAUUUAUUCUGGGUGUUUCUGCCAUUCCAGUUAUUACCUCAGUUUCGAUAUGAUAUAGAGGAAUUCUUUUAUAGAGCGGUCAUUGCUUUAUGCAUGAUUUGGAGUUUGACAGAUCAUUCUCUAUGAUUUUAUCUCUAUAAUAUAUGUCUUCAUAUCUAAAUUAAUCAAAUGGAGUUUGACAGCAAAACUAGAAAAGUGGAAAGCGAAUAAUCAUAAAUUUGAUAUAUUUCCCUCACUGUGAUUUUUUCUUGCUUGAUACAAAUUUUUUAAUGGUUUCUCUUUCAUUGAGUUUAAGAUUUUCUCAAUGAAGCCCUUGAGAUGUGUAAGGGAGGGUAAGAUUCAAGGAACACAUGAUUGACCCUAGAUUUAUUGAGCUGUUAUUUUG